rnacentral:rRNA from 1 species
AUUGAACGCUGGCGGCAUGCCUUACACAUGCAAGUCGAACGGCAGCACGGGAGCAAUCCUGGUGGCGAGUGGCGAACGGGUGAGUAAAGUAUCGGAACGUGCCCAGUCGUGGGGGAUAACGUAGCGAAAGUUACGCUAAUACCGCAUACGAUCUGUGGAUGAAAGCGGGGGAUCGCAAGACCUCGCGCGAUUGGAGCGGCCGAUAUCAGAUUAGGUAGUUGGUGGGGUAAAGGCUCACCAAGCCGACGAUCUGUAGCUGGUCUGAGAGGACGACCAGCCACACUGGGACUGAGACACGGCCCAGACUGCUACGGGAGGCAGCAGUGGGGAAUUUUGGACAAUGGGCGCAAGCCUGAUCCAGCCAUGCCGCGUGCAGGAUGAAGGCCUUCGGGUUGUAUACUGCUUUUGUACGGAACGAAAAGGUUUGACUUAAUACGUUGGACUCAUGACGGUACCGUAAGAAUAAGCACCGGCUAACUACGUGCCAGCAGCCGCGGUAA